GGGGAUGUAGCUCAUUUGGUAAAGUGCCUGCCUCACAUGCACAAGGACCUGGGUUCAAUCCCCAGCAAACUCA
rnacentral:tRNA from 1 species